UCUGCUGGCGACGGUAGCCGAGAGCUGCACCCAAUUCCAAGUGACGUCAGAAGCAGUGAACGAAACUGGUCACGUGAUUUCUCCGCCGAGCAAUGAGGAGUUCAUUGACACAGGCCCUCUAGUGACUUUUUCUUAUGAGGAUUUCCAGCAGACCUCGUCUUCAAUCGUGUUCAAAAUCCUCAAAGACGAUCAGAGGUUUCACAAAGCGAAUGUUGUAGCUGAACACAUUAAUGAAGCUGGAGACACUCUGGGUCGCUUAUUCCAGACAGAGAUCCCAUUCUCUGAAUUCAACCAGUCGUCGUCGUCGUCGUCGUCGU